GUGAACGCUGGCGGUAGGCCUAACACAUGCAAGUCGCACGGCAGCACAGUAAGAGCUUGCUCUUACGGGUGGCGAGUGGCGGACGGGUGAGGAAUACAUCGGAAUCUACUUUUUCGUGGGGGAUAACGUAGGGAAACUUACGCUAAUACCGCAUACGACCUACGGGUGAAAGCAGGGGAUCUUCGGACCUUGCGCGAUUGAAUGAGCCGAUGUCGGAUUAGCUAGUUGGCGGGGUAAAGGCCCACCAAGGCGACGAUCCGUAGCUGGUCUGAGAGGAUGAUCAGCCACACUGGAACUGAGACACGGUCCAGACUCCUACGGGAGGCAGCAGUGGGGAAUAUUGGACAAUGGGCGCAAGCCUGAUCCAGCCAUACUGCGUGGGUGAAGAAGGCCUUCGGGUUGUAAAGCCCUUUUGUUGGGAAAGAAAAGCAGCAGGUUAAUACCCCGCUGUUCUGACGGUACCCAAAGAAUAAGCACCGGCUAACUUCGUG
rnacentral:rRNA from 1 species